UACGUAGGGGGCGAGCGUUGUCCGGAUUUAUUGGGCGUAAAGAGCUCGUAGGCGGCUUGGUAAGUCGGGUGUGAAACCUCCAGGCUCAACCUGGAGCCGCCACUCGAUACUGCCAUGGCUAGAGUCCGGUAGAGGGUCACGGAAUUCCUGGUGUAGCGGUAGAAUGCGUAGAUAUCGGGAGGAACACCUGUGGCGAAGGCGGCUUCCUGGGCUGCCCCUGACGCUGAGACGCGAAAGCUAGGGGAGCGAACGGG
rnacentral:rRNA from 1 species